GACGAACGCUGGCGGCGUGCUUAACACAUGCAAGUCGAACGCUGAAGCCCUUUCGGGGGUGGAUGAGUGGCGAACGGGUGAGUAACACGUGGGUAAUCUGCCCUGUACUUCGGGAUAAGCCUUGGAAACGGGGUCUAAUACCGGAUAGGACCUGUCCUCGCAUGGGGGUGGGAGGAAAGUUCCGGCGGUAUGGGAUGAGCCCGCGGCCUAUCAGCUUGUUGGUGGGGUAGUGGCCUACCAAGGCGACGACGGGUAGCCGGCCUGAGAGGGUGGCCGGUCACACUGGGACUGAGACACGGCCCAGACUCCUACGGGAGGCAGCAGUGGGGAAUCUUGCGCAAUGGGCGAAAGCCUGACGCUGCAACGCCGCGUGGGGGAUGACGGCCUUCGGGUUGUAAACCUCUUUCGUCAUCGACGAAGGGGCCCUGUUGUGGGGUUUUGACGGUAGGUGUAGAAGAAGCACCGGCUAACUACGUGCCAGCCGCCGCCGUAA
rnacentral:rRNA from 1 species